GAGUUUGAUCCUGGCUCAGAACGAACGUUGGCGGCGUGGAUUAGGCAUGCAAGUCGAACGAAUCCCAGGGGGGUAACUCUCUGGGGGAAGUGGCGAAAGGGGCAGUAAAGCAUGGAUAACCUACCUCGGGGAUCGGGAUAGCCUUCCUAACGGAAGGGUAAUACCGGGCGAGCUAGCGAAGGGGCAUCUCUUUGCUAGGAAAUGAAUUUCGCCUUGAGAGGGGUUCAUGUAGUAUUAGCUUGUUGGCGGGGUAACGGCCCACCAAGGCCAAGAUGCUUAGCGGGUGUGAGAGCACGACCCGCGCCACUGGCACUGAGACACUGGCCAGACUCCUACGGGAGGCUGCAGUCGAGGAUCUUCGGCAAUGGGCGCAAGCCUGACCGAGCGACGCCGCGUGUGCGAUGAAGGCCUUCGGGUUGUAAAGCACUGUCGAGGGGGAGAAAAGCCCGCAAGGGUCUGAUCUAUCCCUGGAGGAAGCACGGGCUAAGUUCGUGCCAGCAGCCGCGGUAAGACGAACCGUGCGAACGUUGUUCGGAUUCACUGGGCUUAAAGGGCGCGUAGGCGGACGGUCAAGUCAGGGGUGAAAUCCUUCAGCUCAACUGGAGAAGUGCCUUUGAUACUGGUCGUCUCGAGGGAGGUAGGGGCAUGUGGAACUUCCGGUGGAGCGGUGAAAUGCGUAGAUAUCGGAAGGAACGCCGGUGGCGAAAGCGACGUGCUGGACCUCUUCUGACGCUGAGGCGCGAAAGCUAGGGGAGCAAACGGGAUUAGAUACCCCGGUAGUC
rnacentral:rRNA from 1 species